ensembl:lncRNA novel transcript
CAGUGUGUGGAGUAGAAGACAGAACAACGUAUACCUUCAGAAUGCACAGAGCCAAUGCAUUUUUGGAUUACAAAUAAAUCAAUUUAAGACCUAUUGCUUCUGACAAUGAUUUGCAAAUUGAGAAAAUUCUGGAAAAAUAGACAUCCAACAAAUUAACAGUGAUUAUACCUAAUGACAGGGUUACAGGUGGGGAUUUGUUUAUUUGUAUGUUCUUAUUUGUUUCUUGUUUCUUAUGUCAGCAAAUUUUAAAUAGAAUAUGCAAAAUGAUGACCUCAAUAAUAAAAAAUAUUGUGUUUAUUCACAAGAGUUAAAUAAUGUUUAUAGAAAGGAAAAGAUGCGAAUGUUUUUGGACAGAUUAGGAUUUAAACAAAAAUGUUAAACACAGAAUACAAAAUAUGUUUUUUCUCCUGUUGUCUAGCUUUUGUACAGUGAACACAUGUUGCUUUUAUAGUAAGAAAUAUACAUUUUAAGUUUCAAAAUUACUCAGAUUUUGUAAACAAUCUAAAAGAAAAUAAAUGUGUUUGGAAAAUCCA